rnacentral:lncRNA from 1 species
GGAGUUAAGUGACAUGUUCCCAAUAAAGGAAUUGGCAACAAUAGGAUAUUCAAUACACAAAGCAUUAUAAUCAACAUCAGGGACAACAAGUUCUCUCAGAGUUCUUUGGUCAGCCAUGUUAAACUUAAUAGAAAAGAAAAAAAAAUCAACUAAUAAUGAGAAAACACAACUAACUCAGCAAUGCAGCAACAAAUAGGAAAAUACCGACAAUGACCCUAUUAAGUAAAAACAAUUGAAAUACGAAAAAAACGAUUAAAAUAAAAUUAAAAAAAUACAAAAACACGAAAACUAAACUAAUAACGUCAAUUGAGAAUUUUG